rnacentral:rRNA from 1 species
CCUACGGGAGGCAGCAGUGGGGAAUAUUGGACAAUGGGCGGAAGCCUGAUCCAGCAACGCCGCGUGAGGGAUGACGGCCUUCGGGUUGUAAACCUCUUUCAGUACCGACGAAGCGCAAGUGACGGUAGGUACAGAAGAAGCACCGGCCAACUACGUGCCAGCAGCCGCGGUAAUACGUAGGGUGCGAGCGUUGUCCGGAAUUAUUGGGCGUAAAGGGCUCGUAGGCGGUUUGUCGCGUCGGGAGUGAAAACGCCGUGCUUAACACGGCGCUUGCUUUCGAUACGGGCAGACUAGAGGUAUGCAGGGGAGAACGGAAUUCCUGGUGUAGCGGUGAAAUGCGCAGAUAUCAGGAGGAACACCGGUGGCGAAGGCGGUUCUCUGGGCAUUACCUGACGCUGAGGAGCGAAAGUGUGGGGAGCGAACAGGGAUUAGAUACCCUGGUAGUCCACACCGUAAACGUUGGGCGCUAGGUNUGGGGUCCAUUCCACGACGUCGUCGCGCNGCUACGCAUAAGUACGCCCGCCGUCGGGUAGGUACGGCCGGCCGACGACGUAAACGUAAACGGUAAAGUUAGACGGCGNGUAAGUACGUGUUCGACGGACGACGACGAGGGAGGAGG